GGCGCCGUGGCUCAGUUGGUUAAAGCGCCUUUUUAGUAAACAGGAGAUCACGAGUUCUAAACUCGUCGGUACCU